ACGUAGGGGGCCAGCGUUGUUCGGAAUUACUGGGUGUAAAGGGUUCGUAGGCGGUGUGGCAAGUUGGGAGUGAAAUCUCUUUGCUCAACCCAGAUUCUGCUUCCAAAACUUCUUUGCUUGAGUGUGAGAGAGGCUCGUGGAAUUGCAGGUGUAGCGGUGAAAUGCGUAGAUAUCUGCAGGAACACCCGUGGCGAAAGCGGCGAGCUGGAUCACUACUGACGCUGAGGAACGAAAGCUAGGGGAGCAAACAGGA
rnacentral:rRNA from 1 species